rnacentral:rRNA from 1 species
UACGUAGGUGGCAAGCGUUGUCCGGAUUUAUUGGGUUUAAAGGGUGCGUAGGCGGCCUAUUAAGUCAGUGCUGAAAUAUCCCGGCUUAACCGGGAGGGUGGCAUUGAUACUGAUGGGCUUGAGUAGAGUCGAGGUAGGCGGAAUUGACGGUGUAGCGGUGAAAUGCUUAGAUAUCGUCAAGAACACCGAUAGUGUAGACAGUUUACUAGACUCAAACUGACGCUGAGGCACGAAAGUGUGGGAUCAAACAGGAUUAGAAACCCCAGUAGUCC